CAAUAGCGUAUAUUAAAGUUGUUGCGGUUAAAAAGCUCGUAGUUGGAUUUCUGUUGAGGGUGGCCAGUCCGCACUUUGUGCGAGUAUUUGGUUCAGCCUCGGCAUCCUCCUGGGGAGCGUGAUUGUACUUAAUUGUAUGACGCGUAAUUCAGGACUUUUACUUUGAGGAAAUUAGAGUGUUCACGGCAGGCGAUAGCCUUGAAUAUGUUAGCAUGGAAUAAUAAUAUAAGACCUCGGUUUUAUUUUGUUGGUUUGCACCGCGAGGUAAUGAUUAAUAGGUACAGUUGGGGGUAUUCGUAUUUAAUUGUCAGAGGUGAAAUUCUUGGAUUUAUGAAAGACGAACUUCUGCGAAAGCAUUUACCAAGGAUGUUUUCAUUAAUCAAGAACGAAAGUUAGGGGAUCGAAGACGAUCAGAUACCAU
rnacentral:rRNA from 1 species